AGGGGCCUCAGCGGUGGCUUCACCAAUAUGAUUUCAAUAUGUUAUAGUUUGUGAUUAUGUUAGUUUAAGUGGAACCACUAAUAAUUUAUCAAUGAUAUUCCCUAUGCAGUUGUAUUAACAUUGGCAAAUUUCAUUUCCAUUGAAGUAAUUUGUCCAGGCCCUCUCAGACAUUGGCUAUUGAUUUUUAAACUUUUGCAUAGUUU
rnacentral:lncRNA from 1 species